ACACAUUUAGCUCAGUUGGCAGAGUGCUUACCUCGCAAGCACAAGACCAUGGGUUCAAUCCCUGACCCCACAAUAUAUA
rnacentral:tRNA from 1 species